CCGCGUUCCGCCGGGCUGGCCCGGGAGGCGGCUGGGCCGCGGCUCGAGAGCGGCCCCUGCUCUGGUACUGUGCCUGCUGGAGGGUAAUACGGACGGGGUCACACUAAUAAUUAGGUUGAAAAGAUCUCCGAGAUCAUCGAGUUCAAUCUAUGACCGAGCGCCACCUUGUCGACCAGACCAUGUCACAGCCAGUCUUUUCUCGAAGUGGAUGCACCACCUCCCAUUCCAAUGUCUAAUGACCCUUUCAGGAAGAAAUUCUUCCUGAUGUCCAAUCUAAGUUUUCCCUGGCCCAGCUUCAGACUGUCUUCUCAUCCUGUCACUUGCUACCUGAAAGAAAACCCUGAUCCUACCCGGCUACAACCUCCUUUCAGACAGUUGUAGAGAAUGAUUUAUUUGCCUCCCCCUCCCAGUAUGGGGGAUCAACGUAGAUGACCAAAUUCAUUUUUACAUCGCAGUGGUGCCAACAGCUGAAGAGAAUCUGAUGUCACCAUUCAAAAAACACAUCAUGCAACAUGACAGAGGGUCUAGAGUCGUGCUGAGGAGCUGAAACAGUAAUAAGUAGGUCUGGAUU